AUUGAACGCUGGCGGCAGGCCUAACACAUGCAAGUCGAGCGGAUGAAGGGAGCUUGCUCCUGGAUUCAGCGGCGGACGGGUGAGUAAUGCCUAGGAAUCUGCCUGGUAGUGGGGGAUAACGUCCGGAAACGGGCGCUAAUACCGCAUACGUCCUGAGGGAGAAAGUGGGGGAUCUUCGGACCUCACGCUAUCAGAUGAGCCUAGGUCGGAUUAGCUAGUUGUUGGGGUAAAGGCCUACCAAGGCGACGAUCCGUAACUGGUCUGAGAGGAUGAUCAGUCACACUGGAACUGAGACACGGUCCAGACUCCUAAGGGAGGCAGCAGUGGGGAAUAUUGGACAAUGGGCGAAAGCCUGAUCCAGCCAUGCCGCGUGUGUGAAGAAGGUCUUCGGAUUGUAAGGCACUUUAAGUUGGGAGGAAGGGCAGUAAGUUAAUACCUUGCUGUUUUGACGUUACCAACAGAAUAAGCACCGGCUAACUUCGUG
rnacentral:rRNA from 1 species